rnacentral:lncRNA from 12 species
UCAACCAGGACCCUAGAGGGAGGAGUGCUGAAUAGCCUUUCUACUAUUGCCAAAGGGUCCCCAAGAUAUGGAAGGAAACUCCGCAGAGU